rnacentral:lncRNA from 1 species
CAUCUCUUCGUGUGCGUUUUUAUUAAAGCCAUCGUUUGUCAUGUUAAGCAGCUGUUGCAACAUAAAGAGAAACUGUCAAAUAAUAUGGCAUUUGGAAAUGGUGACAUUUUCCUUUUAAUGUCUCUUUCCUCCAUUUCCCUCUACCCUCUUUCAGACUAUUGCCACAGUAGCAAUGCGCAAGGACCGUCAGCCUGACAAGUGGCUCUGUUUGCUGCUGAACAAAAACAGAACUGGGAACAGGCCCUUCCUUGUUCUCAGUGAGUUCUGUGAUCUUCAUGGGAAACCGCAGCCCCCUGCUCCCUCUGCUUGAGGCCCUGAGAGGCUGGCUGUACUCAUUCCACAGACCAGAAGUUGAUUGCUGUUGGUUCAUAAUGUUGUUGAUGGAAAAAAGCACCACCUAGGUCUGUCUGGCACCUGGAACUCCAUGUUAGGAAGCCUGAGUGUACACAGGUCUGAGAAGAGCCUCACACAGCCCAUACCUGGUACUGAGCCUCCAGCUAUCUCCCUGCACCAAAGAGUGUCAGCAAAAGGAGUUUAUGAUCUCAUUGGAGAGAUAAGAUCUGCACAGUCCCUGGAGAACAUCAGGAUUGGAUACAGAAUGAAGAGCAGAAAUGGGCCAGAGGAGACACGGAAGUCCUGUGGAAAAUAACAAAAUGUUGCUUAACAUCUCAACACUCAAGAAAAAUGUGAAGCUGGGAAAGUAGACUUGGUGGUCUUCAGAACCUGCUGGUGCUAUGCUUGGUCUUCCACCACCACAGGGAAAACAGCCCCCCUCCAGCUUGCAAGGUUGCUUUUCAAGAGGCAGUCACCCCAGCAUCUCUCUACAUCAAAAUCUCUGCUAAAGCCAUGGCCCGGUGACCUUUCCCAAGCAGGUCAGCGAAGACUCUCAUAGCAUCACAGUUUGGGAGAAAAACACAGCCCAAGCCAGCACCCAAGUGCAAUGCUGGGUAAAUGCCUCUGGGAUUGGUCCAGGCCUGGUGCCAACUCCAUCAAGUUCUCACUUUAAUAAAAGCCUCUCAGUUACUCAAGCAAUAAAUAUUUCAUUUUUUUUUCCUGUGUCAACACUGCAUCAGGUACCAGCAGUGCAAGAAGAAAGGCGCAGCCCUGACUCGCUGCUGGGACUGGUGAGUGACCACCCAGAGCACUGCAUGCAUGUUGUUCUCGCUGCUCAUGCUGCUUUGUGCACUGUCUAUGGUCCUGUCUUAUUUACUGGGUAAGCUCCUGGAGAACCGAGAUCACAUCUCAUUUUUCUAUCACUUCAUCCCCAAACAUAAUGGAGUAGCUCAAGCACUUUGAGAGCAAGGCUGAUGUCUGCUAUUGCUUCUUCCCUGUCUCCCAUAUCAUCCAGGAAAGUUAUUUAUUUAUACGGAGUACUCCACAAAGCACCACACACAUCUACAUUUUUAAAAUAAAAAUAUCAGCACAUCUUGCCCACAUAUGGCUAUGUGUUCUUCUGAGGCAAAGCCAAUUAUGUUAAUGGCCUAUUAACAUUCUACUGGUAAAAGUGAAGAAAAACAAAGAAAGAGAUUAAAGAAGGCACUAAGUAAUUUCCUUCUUAGUAAGUACUACUUUGUGCCAGCCACUUUGUCAGGUUCUAAUCCAUUGAGUUUACUAUUGUCUGGAUUCCUCAGAAGGUUCCUGGAGGGCCACAUUGUGAUAGAGGUCUCAUAAUUCUACCUCUACUACUAGAACUAAGUUUUACAGAAGAGUGAAAUUCAGGAAAGCAUCUGCUUCCAAUGGGCUUUAGGUUGACCCUGCAGGUGAUCUUUCCCAAGGCCAGAAAGCUUAGUGACUAUUUCAUUGACCCGGAUCCAGUAUGCUAUGCCACCAUCUAAACCCAAGGCUUAGGUCUGCUGAGACAUAAGACAACUUACAAUUAUAGCUAAGCUGUAUUGAACACUUAUUAUUUUCUU